rnacentral:rRNA from 1 species
AGAGCGAACGCUGGCGGCAGGCCUAACACAUGCAAGUCGAGCGCCGUAGCAAUACGGAGCGGCAGACGGGAGAGUAACACGUGGGAACGUACCCUUUGGUUCGGAACAACCCAGGGAAACUUGGGCUAAUACCGAAUAAGCCCUUACGGGGAAAGAUUUAUCGCCGAAGGAUCGGCCCGCGUCUGAUUAGCUAGUUGGUGGGGUAACGGCCCACCAAGGCGACGAUCAGUAGCUGGUCUGAGAGGAUGAUCAGCCUCAUUGGGACUGAGACACGGCCCAAACUCCUACGGGAGGCAGCAGUGGGGAAUAUUGGACAAUGGGCGCAAGCCUGAUCCAGCCAUGCCGCGUGGGUGAUGAAGGCCCUAGGGUUGUAAAGCCUUUCGGCGGGGAAGAGUAAUGACGGUACCGCAGAAGAAGCCCGGCUAACUUCGUGCCAGCAGCCGC